UACGAAGGGGGGCUAGCGUUGUUCGGAAUCACUGGGCGUAAAGCGCACGUAGGCGGAUCGAUAAGUCAGGGGUGAAAGCCCGAGGCUCAACCUCGGAAUUGCCUUUGAUACUGUCGAUCUUGAGUCCGGGAGAGGUGAGUGGAACUCCGAGUGUAGAGGUGAAAUUCGUAGAUAUUCGGAAGAACACCAGUGGCGAAGGCGGCUCACUGG
rnacentral:rRNA from 1 species